GUUGAUCAACAUAUUCGUUCUGUAUAUAUAUAUAUAUAUAUAUAUAUAUAUAUGGGAACAUAUUCAUCCUUUUUAGGUAUAAAAAUAAAGCAAAACAAUUCAGAAUAUUUAUGUGGCACUCCACCGGAAGUCGUAUGUUUGGGGAAUCAGGCAAUUGGCUUCAUUUUUCUACCAUCUAAUAACAUUCUAGGCCUCCAAGUGGAGUUUCAGAUGAUCAGUGUAUAUAGGCUCUUCAAACUUUGAUAAUAUAAUAUCAAGAAGAAAAUAUAUUUUUUAAUCCAUCUUAGUUUUUCAAUAUGUUACCUGAACCCACUCAAAGUAGCUGACAGUCACACCUCCAGCAUUUGCAUAUAUAUCAGGGAGUAUUACAACUCCUUUCUUGGAUAGAAUCUGCAAUAUCAAAAUCUCAUAAAUAAGAACCAUAAAAAUCUUUCUCCACCUUUCUGUAGUAAACAGCAAAAGCAGAGGUGUAAAGUUACCUCAUCUGCUUCUGGGUCAGUUGGAUGGUUUGCUGCCUCUACUAUGAACUUGGCCUUUACAUCUGAAGCAUUAUCCCUUCAAAGGGACAAAUAGGCAAAAUUAGCUGAGGUUCAUGUGAUUGUUAGUAAAAGAAAUAAAAUUGGAAGAACUACAAUAAAGUUCCAAGAACAUAACAGGAAUGCUAGCAGUAGCAAUUAGAAAUUGAAAAAGACAUGCAAUACUUUGAUAGGAAACUGAAAAGCAUAGAACAGGUUGCUUGUUAAAAUGCUAACCUAUUUAAGACUCCACCUAAAGCACAAGGGAUGAGCACAUCACAUUCAUGUACCAGCAGUUCAUUAGGAUCCAUGGAGUCUCCACCGUGAAAAUUUGUCAAACCACCAGUGGAUUCUUUAUGCCUGAGCAAUUCUGGUAUAUCAAGUCCAUUCAGGUUCUUGACUGCACCGGUGAUGUCAUUCACUGCUAUAAUCUUCCCACCUCUCUCAUGUAUGAGCCUUGUUACCCAAGACCCCACAUUCCCAAAACCCUGAAAAUUAAAAGGGUUAAAUUAGCAAUAUUUUAAUGAAAUAACAAUCACAUAAAAGAAUGUAAUUUAAAUGAUAACCAAAUUCAGAAAUGAAAUUUUUUUUCGAGAUUACCUGAACCACAAAUGUCAAACCCUUAAUGGAUUUCCCAUAUUCAGCAAGCAAAGCUUCAGUAGCAUAAACAACUCCACGACCAGUUGCUGCCUCUCUACCCAGUGAUCCACCGAGAUCCUAGUAACAAAUAUGGAUAAGAGAUAGAUGAGGAGAUAAGCAUUAUUUAUUCUGCUUUAAGAUGACAGUUUCAAAUUUAACACACAAACACUUGGAAAAUAACAGUCUUUAACACUUACUAUAGGCUUUCCUGUCACAACAGCUGGUGAGUGACCAUGAAACUUUGAGUAUUCGUCCAAUAUCCACGCCAUUGUCUGUUUACAUAUUUUAUCAUCUAAUUAUGACUAAAUUAAUUAAAUUCGAGAAAGUGAACAUAUGAACAAAUAUACUAUUAAAAGAAAUCAGUGCAGAUGAAAAUACCUGUGAAUUAGUGCCCAUAUCUGGUGCUGGAACAUCAGUAUGAGUACCAAUGAGAUCAUGGAUCUUCUGAGUAAAGACACGGGUAAGUCGUUCUAGCUCACUUAAUUCAUCCUUUUUAGGUAUAAAAAUAAAGCAAAACAAUUCAGAAUAUUUAUGUGGCACUCCACCGGAAGUCGUAUGUUUGGGGAAUCAGGCAAUUGGCUUCAUUUUUCUACCAUCUAAUAACAUUCUAGGCCUCCAAGUGGAGUUUCAGAUGAUCAGUGUAUAUAGGCUCUUCAAACUUUGAUAAUAUAAUAUCAAGAAGAAAAUAUAUUUUUUAAUCCAUCUUAGUUUUUC
rnacentral:lncRNA from 1 species